rnacentral:lncRNA from 1 species
UUCUAACCUCAACAACUGAGAGACAAUAAAUUUCUGGUGUCUUAAACCACCUAGUUUCUAGUACUGUCUUAUGGGACACUAGGAAAUAAUACAACGUAAUGAAAUUUAUAUUAAAAUAUCCAUGUCAAUUUAAUUUGACUUUUGUAGUUACAAUGAAUUUUACAUGUUUUCUUAUCAGAAUAUAUGCUUUCUUGAUUCAGAUCACUUUGACAUCAUAUUCCAGACUGAGUCAUGAGAUAUUUCAGUGAUCUCUGAGAAAUGACAGCCUAUUUGAGAGCAUUUUAAGAGCCUUCAACUGGCACCGUGGUGGACUGGAGAAGCUCCUUUUCUCUGACUCUUAAAGCACAAGGAUAGAGAGAAGAAGCAGAGGUAAGCACCAACAUGUGAUAAAGCAAAUUCUGGCCACUAAUGACAGUUUUAUGAUUCUGAAUAUUUUGAAGCAAGGCCUGAUAAUCUGGAAACUAUAGAAAUUAAGAACCAUGCUGUCACUAAAGGAUGUGCAGGGAGUGAGGAGAGUAUAUUCAAAAUACGACAGUAGAUCUAUUGGAACAUAAACCUACCAGGAUUCAGUAAAGAACUGCAAACAUUAUGUCUUUUAUUUGUUAAAAGCUACAUAUAUUAUCUCUUUCAUUUGGAAGGAGAGAAGGUCAGGAAGUAGGGGAGGGGGAGCAGCCUUUAGCUAAUUAGUGGUAGAUUUGUACUUAGAAUCCAUGUAUCUUGAUUCCCAUUUUAUUGCAUUUUAGAACUUAUUAUUCCAAAUUAAUUUCACCCUUUGGAAACACAGUAACAGCAGCUACCAAAACAAUCACUGAAAGGAUUUAGGAAUAAAAGAAUUAGGGGUACCAAGAAUCCAACAGGAAAGGCAUAAUAGAGAGGUGGCAGGAUAUCCUCUUGCCUGGUCAUGGAUUUUGCUAAUAGAAAAGUGACGUUUACAAAAGAUUAACAGAGUCCUGCAAGGGGCAACACAGCAUUUAAAAAAAAUCUAAAAUUUGAAUGGUCAAGACCGUUUAUUAACUGUUGUUCAAGAUUUCUUUUGUUUUGCCCCUGUACACAUAAAUGUCCAUAACCCCCAAAUUCACUUUAUGUAACUUAUUACAGAUUUUAAACUUCUUCCAUAUUUUCAAUUAUUCAACAGAUAUUUUUUGUGAAUCUACCACAAGCCAGACUCUUUUCUAGGCUGUGGUGAUAUUACGAAAUAUUACUGUUGUUUAGGUAUUUUUUAUUGUUAAACUUGCCUCGUGGAGGGUGUGUAUGUGUGUUCGUGGGUGUGACAGAGACAGAGUAGUUUAUUUCCGAGAAUAACCUCUAUGAUUUUAAUGGAAAAUGUUUCAGAUGAGGUUGGUAUUUAUAGGAAGAGCUGAGUGACAAGUAGAAAUUAAUUACUCUAUUACAUUGAAGAAUUUAAAAAGAGAAGUAUGAAGUGAAAGAAAAGAAAAGAGUAAACAUUGUCUUGGUGGUUUCCUGAGUUUUUCCUGAAAGUGGUAUCAUUGAUGAUGACUGAAGAUCCAUCCUCUGAAAUAUGAGGUUUGGAUACAAUGAAUUCUUAAAUUAUUUCCAGUCUUUAAACAUGAUUUCAGGCUCCAUACUCAAAUGUUCCAUUGGUGUAUGUAUUAAAAUGUAUUGUUCCCUUUGAAUAAAAUUGGUAAUGGUAAAUGCUAUUAUUUAUGCUUCUUCAGGAAAUAUACUUUUUCUCCACAAAACAGAAAUAAGAAAGCCAGUCUGAAAUAUUUCAGUUCUUCACGGAAAACAAAGAGAGAGGGAUUAGGGGAGUACACAUUUGCAACUAAUUCAAGACAAUUAGAUUAGGUUUAAUUUUUGGAGAAACUUGGAUUAUCUUUAGAGUUCAUGCAAUUAUAAAAAGGCAGUGUCCCUAGCAGUAAAGAACUCAUGUCGUGGCAUCAGUUUUAAUCCUGCCUCUGCUAUUUUUUUUUUUUUUUUUUUGAGGGAGAUUAGCCCUGAGUUAACAUCUACUGCCAAUCCUCCUCUUUUUGCUGAGGAAGACUGGCCCUGAGCUCACAUCCGUGCCCAACAUCCUCUACUUUAUAUGUGGGACUCCUGUCACAGCAUGGCUUGCCAAGUGGUGCCAUGUCGGCACCCGGAUCCAAACCGGCAAACCCCAGGCUGCCGAAGCUGAACUUGCACUCUUAACCGCUGAGCCAGCCCCUCUGCCAUUCAUUAG